rnacentral:rRNA from 1 species
AUUGAACGCUGGCGGUAGGCUUAACACAUGCAAGUCGAGCGAGAAAGUAUCUUCGGAUAUGAGUAGAGCGGCGGACGGGUGAGUAACGCGUAGGAAUCUACCUAGUAGAAGGGGAUAGCCCGGGGAAACUCGGAUUAAUACCGUAUACCUCCUAAGGGAGAAAGAGGGCCUCUCUUGAUGCUCUCGCUAUUAGAUGAGCCUGCGUAAGAUUAGCUUGUUGGUGAGGUAAUGGCUUACCAAGGCUACGAUCUUUAGCUGGUCUGAGAGGACGAUCAGCCACAUUGGGACUGAGACACGGCCCAGACUCCUACGGGAGGCAGCAGUGGGGAAUAUUGGACAAUGGGCGCAAGCCUGAUCCAGCCAUACCGCGUGUGUGAAGAAGGCCUUCGGGUUGUAAAGCACUUUAAGCAGGGAGAAAAAGUUAUAAGUUAAUACC